rnacentral:rRNA from 1 species
AUUGAACGCUGGCGGCAGGCCUAACACAUGCAAGUCGAGCGGAUGAAGGGGGCUUGCUCCUGGAUUCAGCGGCGGACGGGUGAGUAAUGCCUAGGAAUCUGCCUGGUAGUGGGGGAUAACGUCCGGAAACGGGCGCUAAUACCGCAUACGUCCUGAGGGAGAAAGUGGGGGAUCUUCGGACCUCACGCUAUCAGAUGAGCCUAGGUCGGAUUAGCUAGUUGGUGGGGUAAAGGCCUACCAAGGCGACGAUCCGUAACUGGUCUGAGAGGAUGAUCAGUCACACUGGAACUGAGACACGGUCCAGACUCCUACGGGAGGCAGCAGUGGGGAGUAUUGGACAAUGGGCGAAAGCCUGAUCCAGCCAUGCCGCGUGUGUGAAGAAGGUCUUCGGAUUGUAAAGCACUUUAAGUUGGGAGGAAGGGCAGUAAGUUAAUACCUUGCUGUUUUGACGUUACCAACAGAAUAAGCACCGGCUAACUUCGUG